GUGGGAAGGAGAAUGAUCUGGCUAUGUUAUGUCACCCAAUUGAUUCCCAGAGAGUCAAUUUGGCUGGUCUAUUUGGCUAGGCAGGUGUUCUGGUUUUCCCUUGCUGGUACAUAUGUAUUUCUCCCUAAACUGUGCGCUCCUUUGAAGAGAACCACUUACUCUAUGGAGGAGGACUCUGUUAUAGUCUAAGUGUACGUAUGUCUAUCCUGUGGACUGCAGGCUACCUGUGAGCCAGGAUGGCAAUGAAUACAGCUUAACAUAAAAUUGUAAAUUUACUUUAAAAAUUGUGAUUAAAAUUU
rnacentral:sRNA from 1 species